GGGCCUCUAGCUCAUGCCUGGUUAGAGCAGCGGACUCAUAAUCCGUCGGUGCCGGGUUCGACUCCCGGGGGGCCCACCA
rnacentral:tRNA from 1 species